rnacentral:rRNA from 1 species
CCUACGGGUGGCUGCAGUAGGGAAUUUUGCGCAAUGGGCGAAAGCCUGACGCAGCCAAGUCGCGUGAGGGAAGACGGUCCUAUGGAUUGUAAACCUCUUUAGGCGGGGAGCAAUGCCGGGCACGUGUGCCCGGAGGGAGAGUACCCGCAGAAUAAGCAUCGGCUAACUCCGUGCCAGCAGCCGCGGUAAUACGGAGGAUGCGAGCGUUAUCCGGAUUUAUUGGGUUUAAAGGGUGCGUAGGCGGAUUUUUAAGUCAGCGGUAAAAUGUCCGGGCUCAACCCGGGCCGGCCGUUGAAACUGGGGAUCUUGAGUGGGCGAGAAGUAUGCGGAAUGCGUGGUGUAGCGGUGAAAUGCAUAGAUAUCACGCAGAACUCCGAUUGCGAAGGCAGCAUACCGGCGCCCGACUGACGCUGAGGCACGAAAGCGUGGGUAUCGAACAGGAUUAGAUACCCUUGUAGUC